GACAUACUAAGAACUUUCCAGAGAUGGAUUGGUGCCUUCGGGAACUUAGAUACAGGUGCUGCAUGGCUGUCGUCAGCUCGUGUCGUGAGAUGUUGGGUUAAGUCCGCAACGAGCGCAACCCUUUUCCUUAUUUGCCAGCGGGUCAUGCCGGGAACUUUAAGGAUACUGCCAGUGACAAACUGGAGGAAGGCGGGGACGACGUCAAGUCAUCAUGGCCCUUACGGCCAGGGCUACACACGUGCUACAAAGGUCGGUACAAAGGGUUGCUACCUCGCGAGAGGAUGCUAAUCUCAAAAAGCCGAUCGUAGUCCGGAUCGCAGUCUGCAACUCGACUGCGUGAAGUCGGAAUCGCUAGUAAUCGCGGAUCAGAAUGCCGCGGUGAAUACGUUCCCGGGCCUUGUACACACCGCCCGUCACACCAUGGGAGUUUGUUGCACCAGAAGUAGGUAGUCUAACCGCAAGGAGGACGCUUACCACGGUGUGGCCGAUGACUGGGGUGAAGUCGUAACAAGGUAGGCGUAGAUGA
rnacentral:rRNA from 1 species